UGGGGAAUAUUGCGCAAUGGGGGGAACCCUGACGCAGCCAUGCCGCGUGAAUGAAGAAGGCCUUAGGGUUGUAAAGUUCUUUCGGUAUUGAGGAAGGUUGAUGUGUUAAUAGCACAUCAAAUUGACGUUAAAUACAGAAGAAGCACCGGCUAACUCCGUGCCAGCAGCCGCGGUAAUACGGAGGGUGCGAGCGUUAAUCGGAAUAACUGGGCGUAAAGGGCACGCAGGCGGUUAUUUAAGUGAGGUGUGAAAGCCCCGGGCUUAACCUGGGAAUUGCAUUUCAGACUGGGUAACUAGAGUACUUUAGGGAGGGGUAGAAUUCCACGUGUAGCGGUGAAAUGCGUAGAGAUGUGGAGGAAUACCGAAGGCGAAGGCAGCCCCUUGGGAAUGUACUGACGCUCAUGUGCGAAAGCGUGGGGAGCAAACAGGAUUAGAUACCCUGGUAGUCCACGCUGUAAACGCUGUCGAUUUGGGGGUUGGGGUUUAACUCUGGCGCCCGUAGCUAACGUGAUAAAUCGACCGCCUGGGGAGUACGGCCGCAAGGUUAA
rnacentral:rRNA from 1 species